rnacentral:tRNA from 1 species
GUUGUGGCCCUAAUGGUAGAGUGCUCAACUAGCAUAUGCGAGGCCCUGGGUUCGAUCCUCAGCACCACA